AUUAGCUAGUAGGUGGGGUAACGGCUCACCUAGGCGACGAUCCCUAGCUGGUCUGAGAGGAUGACCAGCCACACUGGAACUGAGACACGGUCCAGACUCCUACGGGAGGCAGCAGUGGGGAAUAUUGCACAAUGGGCGCAAGCCUGAUGCAGCCAUGCCGCGUGUAUGAAGAAGGCCUUCGGGUUGUAAAGUACUUUCAGCGGGGAGGAAGGGAGUAAAGUUAAUACCUUUGCUCAUUGACGUUACCCGCAGAAGAAGCACCGGCUAACUCCGUGCCAGCAGCCGCGGUAAUACGGAGGGUGCAAGCGUUAAUCGGAAUUACUGGGCGUAAAGCGCACGCAGGCGGUUUGUUAAGUCAGAUGUGAAAUCCCCGGGCUCAACCUGGGAACUGCAUCUGAUACUGGCAAG
rnacentral:rRNA from 1 species